GCGUUCUUAGCUCAGUCGGUUAGAGCACUACCUUGACAUGGUAGAGGUCGAUGGUUCAAGUCCAUUAGAACGCA
rnacentral:tRNA from 4 species